rfam:Myotis davidii contig125035, whole genome shotgun sequence.
GAGACACCCCUAAGGAGCAGGACUUGCUUCAGUGGGGCUUUGGUGCUCACUGAGUCUGCCCCUCAGUGUGUCCCU